rnacentral:rRNA from 1 species
UCCGUAGGUGAACCUGCGGAAGGAUCAUUAUCGUGGGGCUCCGGCCCUAUCGAGAUAGAACCCUUGCCUUUUUUGUACCGUCCGUUUCCUCGGCAGGCUCGCCUGCCAAUGGGGACCCCCAAUAAACUCUUUUUUUACCUGUAUCAGUCUGAAAAAUAAACAAAAGUUAAAACUUUCAACAACGGAUCUCUUGGUUCUGGCAUCGAUGAAGAACGCAGCGAAAUGCGAUAAGUAGUGUGAAUUGCAGAAUUCAGUGAAUCAUCGAAUCUUUGAACGCACAUUGCGCCCUUUGGUAUUCCUUAGGGCAUGCCUGUUCGAGCGUCAUUUGAACCCUCAAGCUCAGCUUGGUGUUGGGUGCCUGUCCCCGCCCCGCGGGGACUCACCUCAAAAUCAUUGGCGGCCGGUACGUUGGCUUCGAGCGCAGCAGAAACGCGAACUCGGAGCCGGCGGAUCGGCGACCAGAAGUAUCUUCUUCACAGUUUGACCUCGGAUCAGGUAGGGAUACCCGCUGAACUUAA